AUUGAACGCUGGCGGCAUGCCUUACACAUGCAAGUCGAACGGCAGCGGGAAAGUAGCUUGCUACUUUUGCCGGCGAGCGGCGGACGGGUGAGUAAUGCCUGGGGAUCUGCCCAGUCGAGGGGGAUAACUACUGGAAACGGUAGCUAAUACCGCAUACGCCCUACGGGGGAAAGCAGGGGACCUUCGGGCCUUGCGCGAUUGGAUGAACCCAGGUGGGAUUAGCUAGUUGGUGAGGUAAUGGCUCACCAAGGCGACGAUCCCUAGCUGGUCUGAGAGGAUGAUCAGCCACACUGGAACUGAGACACGGUCCAGACUCCUACGGGAGGCAGCAGUGGGGAAUAUUGCACAAUGGGGGAAACCCUGAUGCAGCCAUGCCGCGUGUGUGAAGAAGGCCUUCGGGUUGUAAAGCACUUUCAGCGAGGAGGAAAGGUUGGUAGCUAAUAACUGCCAGCUGUGACGUUACUCGCAGAAGAAGCACCGGCUAACUCCGUGCCAGCAGCCGCCGUAACAC
rnacentral:rRNA from 1 species